CCUACGGGAGGCAGCAGUGGGGAAUCUUGCGCAAUGGGCGAAAGCCUGACGCAGCCAUGCCGCGUGUAUGAUGAAGGUCUUAGGAUUGUAAAAUACUUUCACCGGUGAAGAUAAUGACUGUAGCCGGAGAAGAAGCCCCGGCUAACUUCGUGCCAGCAGCCGCGGUAAUACGAAGGGGGCUAGCGUUGCUCGGAAUUACUGGGCGUAAAGGGAGCGUAGGCGGACAUUUAAGUCAGGGGUGAAAUCCCAGAGCUCAACUCUGGAACUGCCUUUGAUACUGGGUGUCUUGAGUGUGAUAGAGGUAUGUGGAACUCCGAGUGUAGAGGUGAAAUUCGUAGAUAUUCGGAAGAACACCAGUGGCGAAGGCGACAUACUGGAUCAUUACUGACGCUGAGGCUCGAAAGCGUGGGGAGCAAACAGGAUUAGAUACCCUGGUAGUCCACGCCGUAAACGAUGAUNUNUAGUGUCGGUAGUGUUACUAUCUCGUGACGC
rnacentral:rRNA from 1 species